GAUUCUCUGGAGAGUCUCAUAAUGAGCGCCGAAGGUGUACGCAUGCAGGGUCAUAUACUGUAUGUAAUCUCUCAGGCAAAAGGACAGAGCAGA
rnacentral:ncRNA from 1 species